UCUGUGCGGACCUCUUACCCUGCCACAGAGCUGCUCAGCCUGGAGGAGGCGCAGGCACGGAGGCGAGGCCACAGCAGCUCUCCUGUCGUUGUGACAGAGAGCAGUGACAUAGAGGUGGAAGAAGGCCCCACAGCUGUACGGGGGAAAUUCCACACCAUCAUCGACUUUCCAUCUGAAAGACCAAGUCCACCCAGCAGCAUAAAGGAAUCACCAGCUGGCUGUUGGUGUUCCUGCUUCAGCCUGGGAAAACCAUCCUCUGGGGCCAAACGCCAACCGCAGUGCAAUGCCAGGGAGCCUGCAGAAACAGAAGUCGUAGUGCUGGCAGGUGAAUUGAACUCUUUUCGACCCAAAAGAGCCGGAGCAAGUAGCGAUGCUGGGCUGUGUGCUUCCACCAAUGGAGAGCUCAUAGGAA